CUCAUCAAAAAUGUUCAUCUCCUCUGCUUUCUGUGCCUCCUCUCCCCCUUCUGUUGCCUCCUCUGGAACAGAGGGGCUGUCUCCCUCCUUCUCUUCCUCACCGUCUUUCAUCUUUUUUCGAGUUAUGUGUCCGCGGAAGCU